rnacentral:rRNA from 1 species
UGGGGAAUAUUGGACAAUGGGCGCAAGCCUGAUCCAGCCAUGCCGCGUGAGUGAUGAAGGCCUUAGGGUUGUAAUGCUCUUUUUGGCGGGGACGAUAAUGACGGUACCCGCAGAAUAAGCCCCGGCUAACUUCGUGCCAGCAGCCGCGGUAAUACGAAGGGGGCUAGCGUUGUUCGGAAUUACUGGGCGUAAAGCGCACGUAGGCGGAUCAGCAAGUCAGGGGUGAAAUCCCGGGGCUCAACCUCGGAACUGCCUCUGAUACUGCUGGUCUGGAGUCCGGAAGAGGUGGGUGGAAUUCCUAGUGUAGAGGUGAAAUUCGCAGAUAUUAGGAAGAACACCGGUGGCGAAGGCGGCCCACUGGUCCGGUACUGACGCUGAGGUGCGAAAGCGUGGGGAGCAAACAGGAUUAGAUACCCCAGUAGUCCCUGAGCGGGCUGGCAAGGCGCAU